CACCAGCAUGGACCUGCUGGGGUGCAGGCACAGGUCAGUGGGCUGGAAAAAAAGCCUUUCUAUAUGCAGCCAGGCGUACGUUCCUCCUCACCUGUGCCAGAUCCCGCCUGAACGCACCGUCCAKGUCAGAGCAAAGCAAGGGCACUUCCUCCAGGUCUCUUCCCUGGCUGCAUGAAGCAGCUCUGCAUCACUUCCCAGUCUCAUGGGUGCCAGUGAAGGGACAUUUAGGGUAGUACAAAGCAGAGCAGCCCAGAACGGCUCCAGACUGGGCUCCGAGGAUUUUCAUUUGGGGCUCUGGAAGCUUUGAGCCUGGCAGCAAAACUGGCGCCGCGCAAGGUUUACGGGGGCUGGGGUAAAGCAGGCUGCCGGGCUGUUCCCACUGCAAAAAGGCCAGGCACAGCCGGGCGACGGCUGCAGCGUCUCCGCGAAAGCAAAGCUCCUGGGAGCACCAAAACCUGCGCAGCACCGAGCGGCCGAGAGCCCGAGCAGGGGUAGCCGGCCCCCACCCGGGUUUUACGUGCCACAUCUCCCUUGUCCUUCUGCAAGUUUCCUCCUGCUCCAGGGCCUUUCACUAGUCUGGUGCUGGGGGAGUCUGUCACUGAUUAAUACCUCCAUUAAAUAUUACCGCCCAGCCUGGAGGGGGUCAGCGUGUGCCCUCGCUGAACGCCCGCUCCUGCGCGGCCUGGGCUCUCGGCAUGCCUUGCCCUCCCCGCUCCGCGUUUCCCUCCCGUCGGGGCUGAGCAGCCAGGAAAUGAAGGAGACGGAGCAGCAGGGCAAAGAGCAGCAACCUGCGCCGCCGGGCCGGUUCGCUCGGGGGCCGAACCAUGCGGAGAGCUGGGGGCAGAGGGGGGCCGGUGCCUUCGCAGCGCGAGGGGUCGGCAAAUCUCAGCCCCUCGCUCGGUGCCAGCGCAGGGCCCCCGCGGGCCUCCCGCCUCGCAGCUGCCGUGCACCGCGGGAGCUGAGGCUGGGAGCGCCGUGACAGCGAUGAGCCCUGGGAGAGCAGAGGGAACAAAGGCGCUGCGGAGCGACGGGAGUGCACUGCCAGUUCCCACCGAGACCAGCCCUUUGUGAGCGCUGAAAAGGAGCCGCCAGGGCAAAAGAAAGGACAGGCUCCAAGGAGAUCUGCAGGGGAGGAGAAGGGAGCUGGGAGGUUUCCAGGAAGUGCCCUAAGUAAAUAGUUACGCUUGCAUAUAUUUGCAAUCGCUUGAAUAGGACUUUUCUUUCUCCUUGGGGGAAGGGUGGAAAACAACUUCCCGGGACCGCCGCGGAGGUGAUGGGCGCUCGGAGACAAAGGUGGCGGCGGAGGGACCACGGAGCCGGCUGGCACAGGCGCCGUCCUUGUGUUCGCAGGCCCGGCAGGGAGCCCAGCGCAUCCCCUCUUAUCCGCUCCCCGAGCGAGGCCAGCGGCGUUUCCUAGCAGGCGCUGCCAGGAUAUGGGCCACGAGGCCGAGGGCCGCGCGGAGAGUGGGGAUGGAGCCAGGCAAUGAGCUGUCCUUG
rnacentral:lncRNA from 1 species